CAACGUAGGGUGCGGAGCGUUGUCCGGAAUUAUUGGGCGUAAAGAGCUCGUAGGCGGUUUGUUGCGUCGGCUGUGAAAUCCCGAGGCUCAACCUCGGGUCUGCAGCCGAUACGGGCAGACUUGAGUUCGGUAGGGGAGACUGGAAUUCCUGGUGUAGCGGUGAAAUGCGCAGAUAUCAGGAGGAACACCGGUGGCGAAGGCGGGUCUCUGGGCCGAUACUGACGCUGAGGAGCGAAAGCGUGGGGAGCGAACAGG
rnacentral:rRNA from 1 species